CGUCACCACGCUGUGUGUUUAUAAAACAGCCAGCGGAGGAAGCGUUAUUGUAUUUGAAUGUCAACGGUUGUGAGUGUGUGGCGGAGCCGGGCACUUGUCGGUGCGGCUUGUUCUGAGUGUGAACUGCACUCGAGUUGAAGCAGCGCGGUUUUCUAUAUUAUACACAGAUGUGACAGGGAGUUGCGGUGGCUGUAUGUUGAUCUAGAGCACCGUGCGUGCCAGGAGCAGGGCGAUAAGCUUCAGACAUGGGAUGCUGGCUGUCUUAUAGGGAAUCUCUCGCACUGAUUUUGGACUAUUGCUGAUAUCAAAACCUACAAAAAAUAUACGAGUCUCCAUCUAAAGAACUGAAUCAACACCAUAUUCAUAUCAAAAUGUAUUUUUUAUUAGUACAUCGUUUUAAGUCAUCACUUCACAUGAUUGACAAUUCACAACAAUUAAAAUACAAAUUACUGGUGGUCCAUGAUUGUAAGCAGGAAAAUACAUAAAGUGCUAGUGCAAAUGUAUCAUAGUCAGUAAAUACACUGCUCAGUGCAAGAUAUACAUCUAAUUCAAAACGUGCUGUGAGAUAUGAUGAUGGCAGCUGGAUAGGGUGCCUAAUAGAUACCCACGCUACAGCCAUCCAUGGUGAGAAGAGUAUAGCAAUGAGUGAGUCAUACCAUUAUUAAAUAGCAGGAGUAGAUACCUCAAUGCCAUAUGAUAAAAUCUCCUCAAAGACUUUUCAAAUGAUAAGCAAGGGUUUAUGGUAAGCUGAAUACACAAAAAUAAAUGUAACUGGUUAUGACUUGCACCAUUGUACAAAACAGUACAGCUAAAUGCAUCAUAUAGUAAAAUCUCAGCAGAGACUAUCAGGUAAUAAACAAGGAUACACCAGGCUGAAUACAUAGAUAAUAUGUGAAUAAAUCUCAACACUAGAUGAGAGUACUGACCAACAUAUAGUAAGUCAUAAUCAUAUCAUAGGCAUUAUACUGACCAGUCCACAACCCGACAUGUGUUUUGCGUACUGCUUCCUCAAGGGGUAAUGGAGCUAAUGAUUAUGCUGGAUAUAAAUAGGGUGAAGGAGGCAAUCGCAAUAGCGUAUCUGGCCAAUCAUAAACCAAACACCUGUGCCCGAAGAGCACCAAUAGGUUAGAGGGUGAUUUACAAACCAGGCAUCACCUGAAAAUAAAAGAUUCACUAUAUGGCGCAUGGACCUCCCGCCACGCGAUCCAGGAGCGCACACCGAAGUCCGGAGGAGGGGAGUCACUCGAGAUCUUGCACGACGCCCAUCCUCAUGGAGCCCGGAGCGGCGCCGCAACCACGACUCAUGCGCUAGGAGUCUAUGCCCACCAUGAGCGCCAUAUUGGAUGCCAGAAAAAAGAAGGGGGGCAAUGAGGUUAGCAAUGAUGUCACCACUCCAACAUGUAUGAUGCAUACAGCAGGAAUAAUAUAUCCGAAUAUUAGCAUACCAUGUCCUUCGCCCUAUUUAUAGCCACACUUAUUGCUAUACUCUUCUCACCAUGGAUGUAUGUAGCGUGGUAUCUAUUAGGCCACCUAUCCAGCUGCAAAGGUUAUAUGUCGCAGCACCUUUUGAGUUAGGGUUUUCUCACUCUAGCGUUUUUCUUUUCCGGCACUCAGUUCCGUCAAAAGAGCUCAAUGCCGGAAAAGAACUGAUCAGUUUU